GACUAAGGUUCGAUUCGAGCGACAGCGAGAAAGCGUUGCCGCAGGCAACGACCCGAAGGGCGAAGCGCGCAGCGCUGAGUCAUCCUUCCCCCACCACCA
rnacentral:sRNA from 1 species